UGCACCUAUGGUAUUUGAUGGUUUGCCCGACUCAUCUUGGUUCUAAUUAUGGUGCUAUCCAUUUUGUCCUGAAAGUUUUAUUAUUCGGGACAAUAAUUUACCAAGUUGUUGUAUGCUUAUUCAUAAGAAUGAUUUGAUGCAGGAUACUAAAGCAUUUUAUAGUGGUGGUGAUCAAUCAUUAAAAAGUAGGAAGGAUGAUUAUACUGGUUAUGACAGUUUUUUAUUGCCUUAAUGUUUUAGAUUUACAGCCUGAAGACCAUAACUCUAGGGGAUAAAAGGAUUAGGAAUGAAACAAGUGUCCUUCAGGAGGAUGAGACGAGACAAUUUUUAAUAUGCUUCGCAUUGCUGCAAAGCUGAUGACUUGAAUAAGGCUUAUACCAUGAAUCAACCAGGUUGCUCAGACAUUAGUUCCAUUUUUGAAGGAUAGAAUAUAUUCUUUUAAUGUCAGUGCGACCAACAAAGAAGUCAGACAUUCAGUUUCGCCAUUAUCACUUGAAGAUGCAGACAUGCAGCAGAACCGUAAGUGAGUACUUACAAAGUCCAAGGAGCAAUACACAAUUGCAUCUGGUGAAAAAAUAACUAAAUAACUAAUUAGUGCAUCAAAUGAUUCUUAAGUAUUGAUGCGAAUGCGAUUGCAAGGCCUUUUUGAUGAUGUCAAGUCCUGGAAAUAUCCUUGCAUCAGCAUGAGUUGUGGGCGGUCUUGGAAAUGCCAGACUCUUUGUUCUUUGUUCUAUACUACAGUAUUGUUGCUCAUUAGGUUCUUAAGAAUCUUAUAAGUUAUGGUGUUCAUCCUAACUGGUGAAAUCUGAGUCGUGUACAAAUAGUAAUUUAUUGUACAAUUUUAGCAAGUGUA